rnacentral:misc_RNA from 1 species
AUAGGGCUGUCUCUUCACUCUYCCACCCGUCAUUGAACAUGUCGUGGUCGGGAUGCUUCCGAUCGGUUGCCUGUGCGGUUCUACCCUCUUGUGGGUAGCGAASUCGUCCCUUGAUGGAUAUWUGCUUGCCCUUGUGACAUUUUUGUGUCGUUYGGGCAGCCGAAAUGUYGGCGAUAUCCUUGUGUUGGCGCGUGGUYGAAUGCYGUGUUGCUAUCACUUGGRUUUUUGCCGGCUCUCACGGAUGCGGUGCCUARMGCUWGCUCUGCGGGACKUUGCCCCGCAGASUUCGGGAGGUCCCUUGUACGAAUCAUUGCUCUUAUACGCCGUCUUGUCGUGCCGCURCCGYGGCACGCAGAUCGUGUUCUUUCGUGCAGUCGUUGACAGCACGAWAGCGAACAUUAGUGUCCGGAGCGUGGYCUUGUGCACGUGGAAUGCCUCUCMGAUCGUAUGAGYAGCGAUUUCCGGUUYGYGUCAC